GGCUCGAGUGGCGAACGGGUGAGUAACACGUGAGUAACCUGCCCUUGACUUUGGGAUAACUUCAGGAAACUGGGGCUAAUACCGGAUAGGAGCUCCUGCUGCAUGGUGGGGGUUGGAAAGUUUCGGCGGUUGGGGAUGGACUCGCGGCUUAUCAGCUUGUUGGUGGGGUAGUGGCUUACCAAGGCUUUGACGGGUAGCCGGCCUGAGAGGGUGACCGGCCACAUUGGGACUGAGAUACGGCCCAG
rnacentral:rRNA from 1 species